rnacentral:rRNA from 1 species
GACGAACGCUGGCGGCGUGCCUAAUACAUGCAAGUCGAACGCAGGGGGGACUGGUGAGUAACACGUGGGUAACCUCCCAUCAGAGGGGAUAACACUUGGAAACAGGUGCUAAACCGAUACAGAUGGAUGGUCCCGCGUUGCAUUAGCUGGUGGGUGAGGUAACGGCUCGACAAGGCCACGAUGCAGAGCGGACCUGAAAGGGGGACCGGCAAACCGGGGACUGAGACACGGCCCAGACUCCUACGGGAGGCAGCAGUAGGGAAUCUUAGGCAAUGGACGAAAGUCUGACCGAGCAACGCCGCGUGAGUGAAGAAGGUUUUCGGAUCGUAAACCUCUGUUGUUAGAGAAGCGGUAUCUAACCAGAAAGCCACGGCUAACUACGUGCCAGCAGCCGCGGUAAUUC